GUUGAAACACCGCUUUCCAUUUGAUCACUAAAGUUAAGUAACAUUGAGCCUGGCCAGUACCUAGAUGGGUUACCACCUACGAAUAUCAGGUGCUGUAAG